rnacentral:rRNA from 1 species
UACGUAGGGUGCAAGCGUUGUCCGGAAUUAUUGGGCGUAAAGAGCUCGUAGGCGGUUUGUCGCGUCGAAUGUGAAAACCCGGGGCUCAACCCCGGGCCUGCAUUCGAUACGGGCAGACUAGAGUUCGGUAGGGGAGUCUGGAAUUCCUGGUGUAGCGGUGAAAUGCGCAGAUAUCAGGAGGAACACCGGUGGCGAAGGCGGGACUCUGGGCCGGAUACUGACGCUGAGGAGCGAAAGCGUGGGGAGCAAACAGG